GGAGAAGUUAGUUUUCAACACAAUCACAACAUAUGGAAAGAUGUCGUCCUUCUCGGAUAGCAGCCUCAGCAAGAAACUAAACGAACUUAACAACACUCAACAGAGCAUCCAGACAUUGUCACUUUGGUUAAUUCACCACAGGAAGCACUCAAAAACGAUUGUACAAGUAUGGCAAAGAGAAAUGCAGAAAGUGAAGUCCAGUGUGCGACUGACCUUUAUGUACCUGGCCAAUGAUGUCAUACAGAACAGUAAGAAGAAGGGCCCAGAACUGACCAAGGACUUUGCCACAGUGUUACCAGAGGCCUACGCAGUGGCAACAAAAGAUGCAGAUGAAAAGACCAAGAAGUCAUUAGAAAGAAUUUUAAAUAUAUGGCAGGAAAGAGGAGUAUAUGACAAGACUUUUGUAUCUAAAAUAAAACAAGAUACAGAUUUGGUAAAGAGUGAUUCUCAGCCAGUAGAAAAGAUAAAAAAGAAAGUUGAUGAAUAUGUUGCUACAAAACCUAAACAUCAUAAAUCAAAGAGUAAGCAUCGGGAUCGAGAGCCAGUCAAGCCAGUUUCAGAACCAGUGGCGCCUGUUGCUGUUGUGCCCGCCAAAAAGAAGAAGAAAGAUGAUGAUCUGAGCCUUAUAGAGGAGAUAGAGGCCAUGCCAAAUGAUCCAACAAAUAAUGCAGCUGAUUCAGAGGCGUUGGUAAAGAGGCUGGCUGACCUAGAACACUCUGCAUCCAGUGACGCUGCAGUACGAGAGAAGAUAGCAGCCCUCCCACCAGAGGUGUCCGAUAUACAACACCUGUCUAAGGUUCAAGAUAAAGAAGCUGCAGUGAAGCUAGCUAGUCAGGUGGAGGAGGCGUGUAUUCUCCUGUCCGAAUACAACUUCAGACUUAAUGCUGAGUUAGAGGAGAGAAAAGCUGUGGGUAAGAUGUUACGGGACUUUAUCGUGUGCCAGAGGGAACAACUCCAGGAAGCAGAAAAUAAAGUAGAGGAUUACAAAUCAAGACUAGAGAAAGUGACGAGUGUACGACUAGAACUAUCUUCACACAUACAGAACCUACCUGAUCUUACCUUGUUACCUGAUGUGACAGGAGGGUUAGCUCCCCUUCCCUCUGCCGGUGAUCUCUUCUCACUCGAUCAGAGACAUUAAUAUAGGGCCAUUCCAGGAUGUUUGUGAUUAUACGAUUCUGUAUGGAUGGACGAGCAGAUGUGUGAUGGGCACUUUUGGUUUAGUGUGGAUGUUUAAUGACUGGACACUCCUGAAUGCAAAGCAAUUUACCUUAUGUCCACAAUCAACUAGCGCCCAAUGUUUGUAUGAUGUGAACUUGAUUGUAAUCUUAAACCAGUCAUUCCUAUAUAUGUUAAAUGACAUCUGAGGCUGAAGAGUUUUUUAUGGAACAAAGUUAAAUGUUCAGAGUGAUGACUGCAUGUGCUUCAUUGAGUGUGAGUGGUUUUAACCUGCUAUAUUAUUUGAAUGGCUAUAUUUCAUUAUGAUAUCCAUUUUAUUAGGGAAAAAUGCAAUGAUUUUACUUUAUAAUCUAUGGAUGGCCAUAGUUUGGUAAAUUUAUACAGUGUGAAAAAUAGAUGCCAGUAGAAUCAGUGUCGUGCACUACAGAACGGUCAAACCUACCUUACCGGUAUAUAUGGCUACAGCCGCUAGGGAGAUUUUGUCUAGUUAUGACCAUUUAAUAUGGCUACAGCCGCUAGGGAGAUUUUGUCUAGUUAUGACCAUUUAAUAUGGCUACAGCCGCUAGGGAGAUUUUGUCUAGUUAUGACCAUUUAAUAUGGCUACAACCGCUUUCUGUUUUUCAUGAGACUGACAAGGAUCAUUUGAAAUUUCCACCGGCACAAAUUUCACCGAGGGUACCAUGGUGACUGUGAGUCUGUCAUCGAGGGUACCAUGGUGGCUGUGUGUCUGUCACCGAGGGUACCAUGGUGGCUGUGUGUCUGUCACCGAGGGUACCAUGGUGGCUGUGUGUCUGUCACCGAGGGUACCAUGGUGGCUGUGAGUCUGUCACCGAGGGUACCAUGGUGGCUGUGUGUCUGUCACCGAGGGUACCAUGGUGGCUGUGUGUCUGUCACCGAGGGUACCAUGGUGGCUGUGUGUCUGUCACCGAGGGUACCAUGGUGGCUGUGUCUGUGUGUCUGUCACCGAGGGUACCAUGGUAGCUGUGACUGUGAGUCUGUCACCGAGGGUACCAUGGUGGCUGUGUGUCUGUCACCGAGGGUACCAUGGUGGCUGUGAGUCUGUCACUAGGUUACCAUGGUGGCUGUGACUGUGGCUGUGAGUCUGUCACCGAGGGUACCAUGGUGGCUGUGUGUCUGUCACCGAGGGUACCAUGGUAGCUGUGACUGUGAGUCUGUCACCGAGGGUACCAUGGUGGCUGUGUGUCUGUCACCGAGGGUACCAUGGUGGCUGUGUGUCUGUCACUGAGGGUACCAUGGUGGCUGUGUGUCUGUCACCGAGGGUACCAUGGUGGCUGUGUGUCUGUCACCGAGGGUACCAUGGUGGCUGUGUGUCUGUCACCGAGGGUACCAUGGUGGCUGUGUGUCUGUCACCGAGGGUACCAUGGCGGCUGUGAGUCUGUCACUGAGGGUACAGUAGUGGCUUGAGAAACAGGUGGGUUUUUUUUACCUAUAAAUCUGUCACCGAGGGUUCAAUGGUGGCUUGUGAAACAGGUGUUUUCACAAUCAUUAUGGUCAUACCUUUUUACGGUAGCUGCUGUUGAAUGACAUAAAGCAUUCAUGCGUUUUUUCAUCUUUGUACCAUAUGCAAUAGAUUUUUUUUUGGUCUGUGUAUGUUUAUCAUUGGUAGGUAUGAAGUAAGAAAUUUUUAUUUUGAUAGUAUUAAAAGAGUCCUGUUCAUUGUGACCUAGUUUACAUAAUAUUAUUCUGUGUAUCUGAUCCACAAGACUUUUAGAAUGAAAGUAGCAUUAGGAAUUUGCUUGUCAAUUACAUUAUUAUCUAGCCAGAAUCUGCAUGUUUAUUCCGGCAAGCAAGUCAUGCAACAAAUUAAUUAUAUAUAUUAUUAUAUGAUUAAUAUAAGAUGAAGUGUUUGUGUAUGAAUUAGCUACAUUGUAGACUUCACAAUUUAAUCCAGUGACCUUGUCGAUAGAAUGUGCUAUUAUGUAUUAUAAAACAUUUAUAUAAAACAAUUACACUGUAUCUAUAAUGGUCUAGUCACUACAUAUUUGUCUUCAUCCAAUACUUGUGGGUGUACAGAUAUUAUAGACUUGUAUAGAUGAUGUUAUAUAAAACCUUCUGGUUGAUGCCUCUCAGUGCUACAUAGUACACACUUACAACGAUAUAUUUGCUGGCUUCAUCACCACGUGAACAGCCAGGGUCAUUUUGAGGCGGGUCUCCUUGUAGUUGAAUAACCUGGGAGGCCCGCUGUAUGUCAUCGAAAACAGUUAGGAUAAAGUGUCUUGCCCGUGGACACAACCAUGACAGCACAGACUGGUCCAUUUCUCAGUUUUCUGAGAAACACAAACAACCAAAGGUAGGAAACAAUGAACCAUGAACCUUGUAUCUUCACCUGAGGUUAAGUGGCCAUCGCUCUAAUUGAGCUAUCACGGCCCCCUCACCCGAGGAUACGUGGCCAUAGCUCUGAGCUAUCACGGCCCCCUCACCCGAGGUUACGUGGCCAUCACUCUAACUGAGCUAUCACGGCCCCCUCACCCGAGGUUAUGUGGCUAUCGCUCUAAUUGAGCUAUCACGGCCCCCUCACCCGAGGUUACGUACGUGGCCAUAGCUCUGAGCUAUCACGGCCCCCUCACCCGAGGUUACGUGGCCAUAGCUCUAACUGAGCUAUCACGGCCUCCUCACCCAAGGUUAUGUGGCCAUCGCUCUAACUGAGCUAUCACGGCCCCCUCACCCGAGGUUACGUGGCCAUAGCUCUAACUGAGCUAUCACGGCCCCCUCACCCAAGGUUACGUGGCCAUCGCUCUAACUGAGCUAUCACGGCCCCCUCACCCGAGGUUAUGUGGCCAUCACUCUAACUGAGCUAUCACGGCCCCUUCACCCUAGGUUACGAGUUGGUGAACAAUAAGUUUUGUUUUAAAUCAGGGGGGAUAACUCUUCCACACAGACUGUGUUUUUAUGAAAUAAAGUAUGGACCCAGUGGCCAGACCUUCAUCAAGUCUGUUGAGUCUUCAAAAAAAAUUUAAAUGCCGAAAAUGUUGAACGCUCUGUGAAUACAAAACCAUGCGUUACAAAGUGUUGGCGAUAUCCCAUUUCUUUUAGAGUGUUAUCGAUAUCAUUUUAUUUAGUUUGAUUAUUUUUCAUUUAAAAUCCAAUGUUCAUAUAUUCAUUUAUAUAUAUCUAUGGGCAUGUUUUUACAUUUAAAUUAAUCAGAGGAUAGAAUGGUUUCCAUAUAUAGUGCGAUCAUGCCAUUUAUAGUCAAAUUUCACGAAAAAAUCGUCAAGUGUGUUCCCUAUAUCCACGUAUGAUUUUAAAUUUGUUUUUCAGUUUUUGGCCAAAUAAAGGAAUUACAUCUGCCAUUUGUUGUGAUCGAGUAAUCCUUUUUGGUGUAUAUCUUCAAUAGGUUAUGUGUCAGUAUACAAAUUGAAUUGAAAACAACAGUAAUAUGUUAAAUCUAAUUCUGAAACAGGUCGUGGGGACGCCAUUUUUGUGUUACGGAGUCCAUGCAUGAGACGUAUGUUCCUACCUGAUAUAGGCUCAUGGUAAAUUCUACAUGUAUGAAAUGAAACUCAAAUACUGUGUUCAUACAGGAUGUAUUCACAAAAGUGUUUGUAUGAGACCAAAACUUUCCAUAACUGGUGUUGUUUCACUCAUCUUAAAAAAAGAAAUCUGUCAUCUACGUCCAAAGUAUACUCUAGCAUAGCUAGUGGAUCUUGGUUUGUAUUUGAGAUUUGUGAAAAUAGUCGAAGAAUUUGACAUUUUACCUGGUGAGAUAAAGAGGAAAAAAAUUGUGAAAAGUUUCAGAAAUAUUGAAUGAUCAGAUUUAAAAUAAACGCAGUGUUUCAACUCACUGUCCCAAGUGACAUCACAAGAAAUCACCAACGAUUGUCAUUACUUAUGUGUAAAUAACAAAAUUUAUGUUUACUGGAAUAAACUCAGAAAUAACUCCAUAUUGAAACAAAUACCAAGUGGCUAUAGCAGGCAUUAAAUGCUAGUAUGAGGGGACAGAGAGAAGUGAAAGUGCUGAUGUAAAAGAUUUUUUUUUUUAAUUUUGUGGAUUGCUAAGCAAUAAUUUUAAUGAGUUCAAUGUGGUUCAAGUUCAAGAAAUCAAUGACCAGACUGAAUUUAUUACAUAUACCCAAACUAUACAUUGGUUAUAUAGGUGUGUAUGUCAGUGUGACCGACCAAAACAUGGAUGGAUCAGUUUGAUUGUCAUGUGUGUUAACUGAUCUACAUGAGGAGUUUUUGGCGUUAUAAGUUUAUAGUCCAUCGAUGACUUUAUCAAAACUUUCAUAAUUAUUACAGCUACAAAUGUAAUGAAAAAAAAAGUUCUGUUUCAAGCUUAUGAAUUUUGAAACAUCAAUAUGAUGUAAUGUUGAGACAUCUGUUGUUAUAACCAGUGAUCUGUCUAAUUGAGAGGAUGAUUGUGUCUUGUGUAUGUACGUAAUCUAAGGUGCAGAAUAAAUACUGUUGCGAGUU